GGGGUUGUGGCUCAGUGGUAGGGCUCUUGCCUGACAUGUAUGAGGCCCUGGGUUUGAUCCUCAGCACCACA
rnacentral:tRNA from 1 species